UACGUAGGCAGCGAGCGUUGUUCGGAGUUACUGGGCGUAAAGAGUGCGUAGGCGGUUUUCUAAGUUUGGUGUGAAAUCUCCCGCUUAACUGGGAGGGUGCGCCGAAAACUGGAAGGCUUGAGUAUGGGAGAGGUAAGCGGAAUUCCUGGUGUAGCGGUGAAAUGCGCAGAUAUCAGGAGGAACACCAAUGGCGAAGGCAGCACUCUGGGACGUGACUGACGCUGAGACGCGAAAGCGUGGGGAGCAAACAGG
rnacentral:rRNA from 1 species